AUGAGUCACAUCAACUAUCAUGUUCCUGGAAGUACAGGUAGAGGUGGAGGAGUAGCAGCAAUUUAUAAAUCAGAUUUAUUAAUUACUCCUAAACCUAAACAUAGUUAUAACUCAUUUGAGAGCCUCACUCUGAGCCUUUCUCACCCAGACUCUAAAACUCAGAAACCAGUUGUGUUUUGUAUUGUUUACCGUCCUCCUGCUCCAUAUUCAGAGUUCUUAACUGAAUUCUCUGAAUUCUUAUCCGACUUAGUUCUUAGCACAGAUAAAGUCAUUGUAGUGGGAGACUUUAACAUUCAUGUAGAUGUUGACAGCAACUGUCUCAGCACUGCUUUUAACUCCUUAAUAGACACUAUUGGUUUUACACAGCAGGUAAAUGAACCCACUCAUCGUUUUAUCCAUACCCUCGAUCUUGUCCUGACAUAUGGGGUUGAAAUUGAUAAUUUAAUAGUUCUUCCCCAAAACCCUCUGUUAUCGGACCAUUUCUUAUUAUCUUUUGAAUUUAGCAUAAUUGACCUUACAAUAGCUGGAAAGAAAUGUUACUAUAGCAGAUGUUUAUGUGACAAUACUGUUGCCAGAUUCAAGCAGAUGAUUCCAUCAUCUUUUGCCUCAAUGUCUUGUAGAUACACAGAGAACAGUCACCUUAAUCCUUAUGAACAGGUUGACUGUCUUGUAGAUGAUGCUGCAGCUUCUCUACGUACAAUGUUAGACACAGUGGCCCCUCUGAAGAAGAAGACAGUGAAUCAGAGGAGGUUAGCUCCGUGGUAUAACUCAGAGAUUCGCAGCCUAAAGCACAGGACCAGACAACUAGAAAGACAGUGGCGUUCCAACAAAAUAAAUGUAAACUGCAUUGCAUGGAAGGACAGUCUAAUAAAAUAUAAAAAAGCACUUUGUGCUGCUAGAAAAACAUAUUAUUCCUCCCUAAUUGAGGAAAACAAAAACAACCCCAGGUUUCUUUUCAGCACUGUAGUCAGGCUGACUAAGAGUCAUAGCUGUGUUGAGCCUACUAUCCCCUUAAAUCUCAGCAGCAAUGACUUUAUGAACUACUUUACUAAUAAAAUUAUCAUCAUUAGAAAAAACAUUCAGCAGCAACUUCUUCCAAAUGACAGAAAGCACUGUCUAGAUCCAUCAACUUUAAAUUUAUUAAAUCCUCUGUCUUACCUAGACAGCUUCUCCCCCAUAACUCAUAUGGAGUUAUCCUCAAUAAUCAACUCUUCCAGGUCGUCCACUUGUCUUUUAGAUCCAAUCCCAACCAGAUUACUCAAAGAAGUUCUACCUUUAAUCAGCUCGUCCAUAUUAAAUCAAAUCAACCAAUCUUUACAUCUAGGCUAUGUACCACAGGCUUUUAAGGUGGUGGUGGUCAAACCUCUAUUGAAAAAAACAACCCUGGACCAUGGAGAACUAGCCAACUAUAGGCCUAUUUCAAAUUUACCCUUUAUUUCCAAGAUUCUUGAAAAAAUCGUGGCUAAACAAUUAUCUGACCACCUGAGUGGGAAUAACCUGUACGAAGAUUUUCAGUCAGGAUUUAGAAAACAUCAUAGCACAGAAACAGCUCUGGUUAGAGUCACUAAUGAUCUUCUAUUAGCUUCGGACAAUGGUCUAGUUUCUGUCCUUGUCCUGUUAGAUCUUAGUGCUGCAUUUGAUACAAUUGAUCAUAACAUUCUAUUACAGACACUAGAACAUAGAAUCGGGAUUAAAGGAACAGCAUGGUUCAAAUAG
ensembl:lncRNA